GACGAACGCUGGCGGCGUGCUUAACACAUGCAAGUCGAACGGAAAGGCCCUGCUUUUGUGGGGUGCUCGAGUGGCGAACGGGUGAGUAACACGUGAGUAACCUGCCCUUUACUUUGGGAUAACUUCAGGAAACUGGGGCUAAUACCGGAUAGGAGCUCCUGCUGCAUGGUGGGGGUUGGAAAGUUUCGGCGGUUGGGGAUGGACUCGCGGCUUAUCAGCUUGUUGGUGGGGUAGUGGCUUACCAAGGCUUUGACGGGUAGCCGGCCUGAGAGGGUGACCGGCCACAUUGGGAAUGAGAUACGGCCCAGACUCCUACGGGAGGCAGCAGUGGGGAAUAUUGCACAAUGGGCGGAAGCCUGAUGCAGCAACGCCGCGUGCGGGAUGACGGCCUUAGGGUUGUAAACCGCUUUCGCCUGUGACGAAGCGUGAGUGACGGUAAUGGGUAAAGAAGCACCGGCUAACUACGUG
rnacentral:rRNA from 1 species